AGUGAACGCUGGCGGUAGGCCUAACACAUGCAAGUCGAACGGCAGCACAGUAAGAGCUUGCUCUUACGGGUGGCGAGUGGCGGACGAGUGAGGAAUACAUCGGAAUCUACUUUUUCGUGGGGGAUAACGUAGGGAAACUUACGCUAAUACCGCAUACGACCUACGGGUGAAAGCAGGGGAUCUUCGGACCUUGCGCGAUUGAAUGAGCCGAUGUCGGAUUAGCUAGUUGGCGGGGUAAAGGCCCACCAAGGCGACGAUCCGUAGCUGGUCUGAGAGGAUGAUCGGCCACACUGGACCGAGGACACGUCCCGGACUCCAAGGGGAGGCACAGGGGGGAAAUAUUGGACAAUGGGCGCAGGCCGGAUCCAGCCUUACCGGUGGGUGAAGAAGGCCUUCGGGUUGUAAAGCCCUUUUGUUGGGAAAGAAAAGCAGCAGGUUAAUACCCCGCUGUUCUGACGGUACCCAAAGAAUAAGCACCGGCUAACUUCGUG
rnacentral:rRNA from 1 species